UGGGGAAUAUUGGACAAUGGGCGAAAGCCUGAUCCAGCCAUGCCGCGUGAAUGAUGAAGGCCUUAGGGUUGUAAAAUUCUUUCACCGGGGACGAUAAUGAUGGUACCCGGAGAAGAAGCCCCGGCUAACUUCGUGCCAGCAGCCGCGGUAAUACGAAGGGGGCUAGCGUUGCUCGGAAUUACUGGGCGUAAAGAGUACGUAGGCGGACUGAUUAGUUGGUGGUGAAAUCCCAGGGCUCAACCUUGGAACUGCCAUCAAUACUGUCAGUCUGGAGCAGAGUAGAGGUGAAUGGAAUUCCAAGUGUAGAGGUGAAAUUCGUAGAUAUUUGGAGGAACACCAGUGGCGAAGGCGACUCACUGGACUCUUGCUGACGCUGAGGUACGAAAGCGUGGGGAGCAAACAGGAUUAGAUACCCCGGUAGUCCCUG
rnacentral:rRNA from 1 species